GGGCGGGAUUUGGUAGUGUAGCGGUGAAAUGCAUAGAUAUUACGAAGAACUCCAAUAGUGUAGACUGCUUACCAGACCAUAUCUGACACUAAGGCACGAAAGUGUGGGUAUCAAACAGGAUUAGAUACCCUGGUAGUCCACACAGUAAACGAUGAAUACUAACUGUUUGCGAUAUACAGCAAGUGGUCGAGCGAAAGCGUUAAGUAUUCCACCUGGGAAGUAUGCCGGCAACGGUGAAACUCAAAGGAAUUGACGGGGGCCCGCACAAGCGGAGGAACAUGUGGUUUAAUUCGAUAAUACGCGAGGAACCUUACCCGGGCUCGAACGAUAUUUGAAUACAUCCGAAAAGAUGUAGCUAGCAAUAGCAAAUACCGAGGUGCUGCAUGGUUGUCGUCAGCUCGUGCCGUGAGGUGUCGACUUAAGUGUCAUAACGAGCGCAACCCUUACCGAUAGUUACCAUCAGAUAAUGCUGGGGACUCUAUUGGGACUGCCACCGUAAGGUGUGAGGAAGGAGAGGAUGACGUCAAAUCAGCACGGCCCUUAUGUCCGGGGCGACACACGUGUUACAAUGGGAGAAACAAAGGGUCGCUACCUGGCAACAGGAUGCUAAUCUCGAAAAUCUCUCUCAGUUCGGAUUGGAGUCUGCAACUCGACUCCAUGAAGCUGGAUUCGCUAGUAAUCGCACAUCAGCCAUGGUGCGGUGAAUACGUUCCCGGGCCUUGUACACACCGCCCGUCAAGCCAUGGAAGCUGGAAGUACCUGAAGUAUGUAACUAAAAGAGCGUCCUAAGGAAUCANNGNC
rnacentral:rRNA from 1 species